rnacentral:rRNA from 1 species
UACGGAGGGGCUAGCGUUGUUCGGAAUUACUGGGCGUAAAGCGCACGUAGGCGGCUUUGUAAGUUAGAGGUGAAAGCCCAGGGCUUAACCCUGGAAUUGCCUUUAAGACUGCAUCGCUAGAAUCGUGGAGAGGUGAGUGGAAUUCCGAGUGUAGAGGUGAAAUUCGUAGAUAUUCGGAAGAACACCAGUGGCGAAGGCGACUCACUGGACACGUAUUGACGCUGAGGUGCGAAAGCGUGGGAGCAAACAGG